ensembl:lncRNA
UUUUGACCCCACUCUGGUGUGGACUCGCCAUGACCUCGAUCCUCCAAUCGUCCAUGAGCGUAAUGAUGCAGGAGAUGAACUGAGAGACCAAAACCAGCGUUACAGGAGACGAACGUCCAUGAAGACGGACUCUCUGAGGACCGGAGACUUCAGCCUCACUCUGAGGAACCCCAUCACCUCUGACAGCGGCACCUACACCUGCACCAUCACUGCAUUUGGAAAUGAACGGACACUGACAGCAGUAGAGCUGCAGGUCAAAGUGUCCCACCAAGUCUUCAGUGUGGAGGUGUACGAGGGGGCGGAGUCAGUCCUGCUGCCCUGUCACAUCCCGUUUGUGUCUGGACCCUCCACAGUGGUGUGGAGCCGCUACGACCUCAAUCCUCCAACCGUCCACCAGCGUCAGCAGGAAGAGGACGAGCUGACAGAUCAAAACCAGCGUUACAGAGACCGAACAUCCAUGAAGACUGACGCUCUGCAGACUGGAGACUUCAGCCUCACUCUGAGGAAACCCCACAUCUUUGACAGCAGCAACUACACCUGCACCAUCAGAGUGACGGGAGAAGAACCCAGACUGACAGAUGUUCAGCUGCAGGUCAAAGCACUGACAGUGACACUGACCUGUGGAAACCUCCUGAGGCCUUUUCUGCAGUCUGCUUGUUAUACAAAGAACCUGCUGCCUAAAUAAACUGAAACUCAGCUCUUAGCCCACAGCGAGUGGUGGCUCGAUCACUUCAUGUAUAUGAUUUAUACUGACCAGCAUGUGUCUGUCCAGUAUGUUUGUUAGCAUAGCUCGUCCUCUGUUCAGUCUUAUUAUUCAGGAUGAGACAUGAUCUGUCCUCCCAGUUCCUGUCAGUACUCCGAGUUCUGCAUUCUGGAUCAACUGAUAAUAUUUUCAUGUUUCUAAUUUUAGAGAUAGUUAUCAGAAAGGAAGCAGUCUUACAUAUUUGUUUAAUAUGUGCGUUGAAGGACAUGUCCUGGUCAAAAAUGACUCCAAGGUUCCUCACAGCGUUACUGGAGGCCAAGGUAAUGCCAUCCAGGGUAAGAAUCCGGUUAGAUACCAUAUUUCUAAGAUUUUCAGGGCCGAGUACAAUAACCU